rnacentral:rRNA from 1 species
CGUGAGGGAAGAGAAGAAAAUAAAAAGCCAAUUAUUGGGUAUCGGGUCAAACUGGUAUUCAGUAGAAUGACAAAUGCUCGCGAACCACAACAAUCAAACAUGAAUUCCCAGGUGAGACAGGACAAAGGAGCAAAUUGCAGUAAAGGCUGGAGCGAUCUGGCCGGCAAUACACUGGAGAAAUUUCUGACCUAUCAACUAGAUGGUAGGAUAGGGGCCUACCAUGGUGAUCACGGGUAACGAGGAAUUAGGGUUCGAUUUCGGAGAGGCCGCCUGGGAAAUGGCGACCACUUCCAAGGAAGGCAGCAGGCGCGUAAAUUACUCGGUGCCAAUACGGCGAGGUAGUGACGACAAAUACCAAUGCCCUACCUCCCGCAAGGGGAGGGGGCAAUUGGAAUGGGUACAAUGUAAAAAAGUGUGCGAGUAACAAU